rnacentral:rRNA from 1 species
UUGGAGGGCAAGUCUGGUGCCAGCAGCCGCGGUAAUUCCAGCUCCAAUAGCGUAUAUUAAAGUUGUUGCAGUUAAAAAGCUCGUAGUUGAAUUUCGGGGUUAGUAAGUUGGUCAUGCCUUUGGUAUGCACUGGCUUUACUGAUUCCUCCUUCUUGACGAACCGUGAUGUCAUUAAUUUGGUGUUGCGGGAAAUCAGGACUGUUACUUUGAAAAAAUUAGAGUGUUUAAAGCGGGCUAACGCUUGAAUACAUUAGCAUGGAAUAAUGAAAUAGGACGUUAAUCCUAUUUUGUUGGUUUCUAGGAUCGACGUAAUGAUUAAUAGGGAUAGUUGGGGGCACUAGUAUUCAAUUGUCAGAGGUGAAAUUCUUGGAUUUAUUGAAGACUAACUACUGCGAAAGCAUUUGCCAAGGAUGUUUUCAUUAAUCAAGAACGAAAGUUAGGGGAUCGAAGACGAUCAGAUACCGUCGUAGUCUUAWCCAUAAACUAUGCCGACUAGGGAUCGGAUGACGUUAAUUCUUUAAUGACUCAUUCGGCGCCUUACGGGAAAC